GUUGUCAGUGAUGAUUCCCUACUAUAUUGUUCGAGUUUAAUUGACCAUGAGACCACUACAUGCACUACCAUCUGAGACAUC